ACGUGACGCGCAGCUGCCAGGAGGUCAAGAUUAUCAUGGAUGAUUUGCGAUUGUUUGUACGUGCCUUUAGUUAACUCGGGCGUCCUUAUUGGGCUGUGGAGUGAAGACUCGUUAAUAGUUAAAUAAAGAUUCACCUGGUGCAGCUAAAUGCUUGGUGCAGCUAAAUAUUCCGUAGCUAGGCCACCACUAAACAUGCUUGCAAAUAAGUUAGCUAGCUAAACAUUACACUAGCAAGUUAGCUAAAAUUGAAUGACGCAUAAGCCGAUGGUGACGUUCUAACCCCCUUGUUUGCUCUGGCGGUGAGGGAAGAGUGAUUAAAGCUGUUAACUUCGAGAGGGACACGAUCUCCUUUUUCUUCGGGAAAAUGAUUUGGACCCUGGAAAUCGCUGAGUUGGAAGUGGGAUCUUCUCUAGAAGACCUGUCCAAGGUUUGCUCCAGUCUUGUCCGGUUGCAGAGUUGGCAGGGAAACAUGGUGGUGUGUGGAGAAGCGCUACCUCACUCACACAAGCCCUUCCGGCAAGAUGAGCCUGGUAAACAGAUCUCACCAAAAUGCUGGCUCCAAAACAAAUGAGAUGGCAUUGAAGACAAUAAGAAAACCCCAACUUGCUCAACCCACCUGUAGCCUGCAUUUGGAUUUUCUGGUCCCAACAACAGAGGCAAUCAGGGUAAACCAGACUUGAGGCUUCAUAAAAUCCCUUUUGAAACCUAUGAGUUAGGGAUGGGCCAUGAUUUUUGAAUCUUCGAAUAGUCAUUUAAAUUCUAAAAAUCCAAUAGUUAUUGCAAAUAUCGUCUUGUCUUAAAGUGAAUAUUGAAUAUAUUAUUUUUGCUUGAAAUGCCCAUUCCUACUAUGAGUAUUUUCACAGAUGUCAUGUCCAAGUUUUUCUUAAGUCUAUGACUGUGACUGUAUUUCGUAGCAUGUAGAUUUUUCACUAUCCAUUAAAAAGUGCAGACAUCCUUGAUUAA